GCUGCUGUUAUCAUUAUGGUUUAGUCCUUUGUCCUCUCUGAGAAGUGAACGUCACAUUGCAGUAGUUAAGCCUGUCAAGUCGCAGUGAAGUGGAGAACAGAGUACCUAUCUGGGAUUGAAUGAGUUUAAAUUGAGGGGCAUUUCUCGAUGCUGUCCUCUGUCUUUGAGGUGGAACUGUUUGAGAUGGGGAUUUGGUCUCUGGGUCUGGGGGCCUUAGGAGCAGCCAUCGCAGGGAUCUUCCUGGCUAAUACUGACCUGUGUCUGACCAAGGCUGCUCAGGCCUCGCUGGAAUACCUGGAGGACGCAGACCUCCACUCCACUGGAGACGAUGAGAAGACCAUGAAGGCCAAAACUCUGUGGGAGAACACCGGAGCAGUCGUCAUGGCUGUACGACGGCCCGGAUGAUUUUUGUGCAGAGAGGAGGCCUCUGAGCUGUCCUCUCUGAAAACCCAGCUUGAGGAUCUUGGUGUCCCUCUGGUUGCCGUGGUGAAGGAGAACAUCGGUACGGAGAUCCAGGACUUCCGACCAUACUUUGCUGGGGACAUCUAUGUAGACGUGAAGCAUCACUUCUAUGGCCCACUACAGAGGAAGAUGGGAGGGCUGGGAUUCAUCCGUCAGGGGGUGUGGCAGAACUUCAUGCGGGCCUGGAAGGCCGGUUACCAGGGCAACAUGCUGGGGGAGGGCUUUGUCCUGGGAGGUGUGUUUGUCAUCGGAGCGGGGAAUCAGGGUAUUCUUUUGGAGCACAGGGAGAAGGAGUUUGGCAACAAAGUGGAGAAUGAAGAUGUUUUAGAGGCUGUGAAUAGAAUUGUGCCAGUGCAAUAGAUUUGAGUUUUUGUAAGUAGCAUUAGUUCAACACUGAUCAAGAGGCCUCAGACACAACUACUUGGUUAUUUCCUGCAUGAGAAUGUGUUCUCAUGUCUUACCUGGUUAAAGAGAUUCUCAGUCAGGGACCUUACAGCAUGCACUAAACUGUGAGAACACUUGUACAUUACUCAUCCUUUGGGAAAGAGAAGUAUAUCUACGAUCGUGUGUUUCAUGCUUUUAUUGAUGUCUCCAAUGGAGUCGAACUCAACUUGAAGAAUGGUUCUCUAUGGCAGUGUUUCCCAACCCUGGUCCUCGAGAACGCCCAACAAAAAAGUAAUACUUUUUUAUUGUAACCCUGGACAAGCACACCUGAUUCAACUUGUCAACUAAUCAUCAAGCCCUCAAUGAGGUGUGUUUGUCCAGGGCUACAAUGAGAAUGUGUACUGUUGGGGGUACACGAGGACCAGGGUUGGGAAGCACUGCUAUAUUCAUCUGGAUUCUAUGUAUUUCAUGUUUACCUGUGAAUGAAUGUGUUACCUGUUCAGGUACUCAAGCGUGACUUGUGUGUAGUCUGUGUUAUUAAUGAAGACCUGACUGUAAACUCGGCAACGAGGGGAGCAGGUUCGAUAUCCAAACACACACUGCCUCACUAUGGCCAGGGUGCCUGAAACAGGUCUGUAUGAGAAUGCAAAGCACAAUAAACCCUAGACCUCGUCACACCA